AAUCGUGGUAUUCGUGGAGAGAAGGGGGACAUUGGGCUGCAAGGUGACAAAGGAGAGAAGGGGGACACAGUGCUGGUGGGAGGACCUGCUGGAGAAAAGGGCAAUAAAGGAGAAACAAGUGAUAGGGGACCCAAAGGUGUUCAGGGAGAAAAAGGGGGG